GCAAGUUGCGCCCCAAGCCGUCAGGCCGAGGGCACGCCUGCCUGGGCGUCACGCAACGUCGCCCCCCGCCACCCCCCGUGGAUGGAUGGGAGCGGAUACUGGCCUCCCGCGCGUCCAUUGCUCGCGGCUGGCCUAAAAUCGAGUCCCCUGCGCCGAGCGCUCGGGCGA
rnacentral:rRNA from 1 species